rnacentral:rRNA from 1 species
UACGUAGGGUGCAAGCGUUAAUCGGAAUUACUGGGCGUAAAGCGUGCGCAGGCGGUGAUGUAAGACAGAUGUGAAAUCCCCGGGCUCAACCUGGGAACUGCAUUUGUGACUGCAUCGCUGGAGGGCGGCAGAGGGGGAUGGAAUUCCGCGUGUAGCAGUGAAAUGCGUAGAUAUGCGGAGGAACACCGAUGGCGAAGGCAAUCCCCUGGGCCUGUACUGACGCUCAUGCACGAAAGCGUGGGGAGCAAACAGG